UCUCUCUACAAGGAGACUCAAAGUGGCUGGACAAGGAUGUUUCAUUGCUUCCUGUCCAUUUACAGGCAUCCUGUUCUGACAUCAACAGAAGAGCCUGUGCAUCCAGUGAGAAGGAAGGGGACCAUCCAGAUUACAUUGUGAAGACUAAGGGUGCAACUAUAUCAGAGCUUUCCAAACUGUGUAUCGUGACACAUUAGUGUGUCGGCUGUAGUGUGUAGGUGUGUCAUAUCAACAUAACAAGAAACAUCUGAUGACCUCAUCAGAUGUGGCAGAUUUUGACAACAACUCCAGUUGUGCUGAAGCUUUGUCACGGAGCCUGCUGUCUCCCACUACAUGUGGGAGAAUUACUUCCAAGAUGGCCACAGGGCAAAACUGAGGCAGAACCAGAAUCACCACCGAAAAAAGCUGCUGGCGGCAACAGAGGAGGCUUCCCGUGUUACAUUGGCCUCAGUGGGGCAAGUCGGCUGGCAAACGUUUUCUCCCAUGUGAUGAGGGAGGGAGGAAGCCAGAACAGUGCAAGGCGCGAGAUAUCAAAAAGAGGGUUUCAAAGGUAGAGGACAGCGGCAACAUUUUCCCCUCUGGCAUUCUCAGUCCCGAUGCUCUGACCCACCCAUAAGGAGGAUUGGGAAGGCACAGGUUUAAAUCCGGUGUGUCAAGUCACAGCCCUGACACCUGCUUACAGCUGAGUUUUCCAGUCCAAUGAACAACUGAUGCGGAGUUCCAUGAUUGAAAUGAUUGUUUGUACAAUGCAAAAGCCCAAAAGCAUAAGGUCAAAUGUAAGAGAGGCACAACAAAUUCAGUAGCAGUAUGUCACUAUGAGUGUAUUGUGACAGGAGGAGACCAUUUUGCAGAUAGUCCUGCAAGACUUGAUCCCUGCUUUGUGUCUUGUUUUGUUUCCAGCUGACCUGGAAGGUGGUGCCUGCUCUAGAAAUAAAGGCAUUGGGCCAUUUCAUUUUCA